rnacentral:rRNA from 1 species
UACGUAGGGCGCAAGCGUUGUCCGGAAUUAUUGGGCGUAAAGAGCUCGUAGGCGGCCAGUUGCGUCUGCUGUGAAAUCCCGGGGCUCAACCCCGGGCGUGCAGUGGAUACGGGCUGGCUAGAGGCAGGCAGGGGAGAACGGAAUUCCCGGUGUAGCGGUGAAAUGCGCAGAUAUCAGGGGGGAACACCGGUGGCGAAGGCGGGGUCUCUGGGCCGAUAUUGACGCUGAGGAGCGAAAGCGUGGGGAGCGAACAGG